rnacentral:rRNA from 1 species
CCUACGGGAGGCAGCAGUGAGGAAUAUUGGUCAAUGGGCGCGAGCCUGAACCAGCCAAGUCGCGUGAGGGAAGACGGUCCUAUGGAUUGUAAACCUCUUUUGUCGGGGAGCAAAAGACGCCACGCGUGGCGUUCCGAGAGUACCCGAAGAAACAGCAUCGGCUAACUCCGUGCCAGCAGCCGCGGUAAUACGGAGGAUGCGAGCGUUAUCCGGAUUUAUUGGGUUUACAGGGUGCGCAGGCGGAAGAUCAAGUCAGCGGUAAAAUUGAGAGGCUCAACCUCUUCGAGCCGUUGAAACUGGUUUUCUUGAGUGAGUGAGAAGUAUGCGGAAUGCGUGGUGUAGCGGUGAAAUGCAUAGAUAUCACGCAGAACUCCGAUUGCGAAGGCAGCAUACCGGCGCUCAACUGACGCUCAUGCACGAAAGUGUGGGUAGCGAACAGGAUUAGAUACCCCUGUAGUC